AGGGUAUUCCUUCCUCGAAUAUCCCUAUGCCCGUCUGACAACGACAUGUUUCCAUUCAAGUUCAAGAGGAAGCAAUUUCCUGUAAGGCUUAGCUUUGCUAUGACGAUUAACAAGGCUCAAGGACAGACGAUUCCGAUUGUUGGCGUAUACCUACCUAAUCCAGUGUUCUCUCAUGGUCAACUCUAUGUCGCGUGUUCCACCGCGAAGAGGAACAUAAAGAUCCUCAUUAAGAAGGAGAAGGAGAAGGAUAAUGGCAAGAAGCAAAGCGGUAAAUCAAAGAAGCGAAAAAGACCUGCCUUGUCCUUACAAACCUCGAUGAAGAAUAUCGUCUAUAAGGAAGUCCUUACAGGUUGA
rnacentral:rRNA from 1 species